GUCCUAUCUGCGGUCCGGUCCAUACUUACGGUAAUUCCGGUCCCCUACACGCCGCUCUGUGGUCUUACCAGCGGAACGCACAUGGCGGUAAUCUUACCGGGGACCACCCACGGUCCCCACACUACGGCAUCUAGGCGGUCGGUUUUGUACAUCUUGCCGGGGGGGUCCUACACCCCCCUCAGACUCAUAGGUUCGCGGUACGUUACUACCUUCGGUCAAAAACGUUACUCUUGUAAAUAGGGGCGCGUAAAUCCGCAUUGGGUUAGCCUCUGCAGUUCUAGCACAGACUAUGCUACAAUACUGUGUAUAUAUAAAGGAUGCCAUAAUUCACUAUAGUGUGCACGGCCUAUUGCUACUGGUUGUAAACUUUCAUGCAUGCUUUCCUUAUUGGUUCUCUUGUGUCAGUUUCACAUGCCAAGUUUAGUGGUCUGUUAUCGCCACCUAGU